GCGCGAAAACUGCACAAUGUGGGAAACCACGAUGCGGGAACACCAAGUGCCAGCACAUAGUGUUGGCUGUUUGCGAGCCUAAAAAGCUCGGAGAGUAAGGGCUGGGUAAGACGGGUGCCAGCCGCCGCGGUAAUACCUGCAGCCCAAGUGGUGGCCGUUAUUAUUGGGCCUAAAGCGUCCGUAGCCGGUUUGGUAGAUGCCUUUGUAAAUCGAACGGCUCAACCGUUCGAAUUGAGGGUAGACCGCCAGACUCGGGACCGGGAGAGGUGCGAGGUACUCGGGGGGUAGAGGUGAAAUUCUGUAAUCCUCCGGGGACCACCGGUGGCGAAGGCGUCGCACUUGAACGGCUCCGACGGUGAGGGACGAAGCCCUGGGGCGCAAACCGG
rnacentral:rRNA from 1 species